AGCCUCACGCUCGGCGUCCCUCCUCCGGGUGCGCGGGCUUGGAGCGGGGCUGAGCGGACGCGGGGCUUGGGGGGAGGCGGAGCUUGGGUGGGCAGUGAGGUGUAGCCCUCUCUCCACCCCCGUGAGGGAUGGAGCACUGACCCCUGCCUCUGCUCCCCUAGUCUACAGGCCCUGUGUUACGCGCUCCACCCGCAGCUGGGUGCGAAAAGAAGCACUACCCUAAUUCUCGGAGCAACCCCUGGACCCAUCCCCUCUAAAUUAACCAGACCUUGCCUGCUAAACCAGUUGGGACUAGAGCUAAAAGGGUUAAUUAAAUAGGGCUCCCGCCUAAGGGCCUGAGAUCCGCGUUUUGCAAGGGGACUCGGGCUGUGGAAUGACCACUAGGUUUGAAUGGGGGGGGCAGGCGACUGCGAAGGCCAUCCUUUCCUCUUGCAGGCUCUGACGCACCAGUAGAGACACUUCCCAUCCCCCACUUUCUUCUUCCAGCCCUAGAACCUUCUACCCACCCACCCCCAUCCUCCGCCCCCUGGAAACAGCUCUCUGUUGAGGGUUUUGGAGGUGGCGAACAGGAAGCCGACUUCUCCACUGCCCCCUACCCAGGUCAGCGCUAGAGGGAGUAGAGAGGACCGAACCGAAGGCAACAAAUGGCCCAGAGUGCUGGAGGCUUGCAUCUGAAACCCAGCCACAACCCCUCACGAGCUGAAUGACCGGGACAGUCGGCAGCCCCACCCUAAAUUCCUUCUGUAAUUGGCACCUCAGCUGGAUGAGAUAUUAUUUCAAGGAUGACCGGAGAGUGCUGAAUGUGAGGAUGUGACUCCGUACAGAAGGAAGGGAAUGUUUCUCAGCCUUAACUCCCUGUCUCCACCAUCCAUGACUGUGACCACUUGGCCCUAAGGUCGUUCAUUCCAUACAACUAGCUAGACCAGAUUCCAUGGUGAUCCUGAUCACCUGGUGGACGACGGGGAUUUCAGCCUACCUUGCAGAGGUCUCCCUGCCCUUGGGAUCAAAGGUUCUUUUAGGGUGGAAUGCACGAAAGGAGACAAAAAGAAGCUGCUGUGCGGGCAAGUGCCAGGCUCUGUCAUUUCAUACCUGCGGUCUCCUUUAGAAGGACAUUCUAUGUUUGGUGUGGGGGUGGAUGUAUGCGUGUGUGCAGCUGUGUGUGCCUGUGCACAUGUGUGUGCACAUGGAGGCCAGAACUCAACCUCUGGUGUAGUUCCUCAAGAACCAUCUUACUUGUU